UACGGAGGGUGCAAGCGUUGUCCGGAAUCAUCGGGCGUAAAGCGCACGUAGGCGGCUCUUUAAGUCUCUUGGUGAAAGGCUGGGGCUCAACCCCAUGCAUGCCGGGGAUACUGGGGAGCUGGAGACAGGUAGAGGCCAGCGGAAUUCCGGGUGUAGCGGUGGAAUGCGUAGAGAUCCGGAAGAACACCGGAGGCGAAGGCGGCUGGCUGGACCUGAUCUGACGCUGAGGUGCGAAGGCGUGGGGAGCGAACAGG
rnacentral:rRNA from 1 species